rnacentral:tRNA from 1 species
GCGUUCAUGGUGUAGUUGGAAGCACGUCCGGUUAACAAUCGGGAGAUCCGGAUGUCGAAUCCCAGCGAAAGCA